AAUUCAUGGUGAGGGCAUUUCCAAAGCAAAUCAUUUAGUCUCUCCCACACCUCAUAGAAUGGUUCACCAUCAUUUUGAGAAAAUGCCAUUAUUGCUUUCCUAAUUU